rnacentral:rRNA from 1 species
ACGCUCGACACCUACGGGAGGCAGCAGUGGGGAAUAUUGCACAAUGGGGGAAACCCUGAUGCAGCGACGCCGCGUGAAGGAUGAAGUAUUUCGGUAUGUAAACUUCUAUCAGCAGGGAAGAAGUGACGGUACCUGACUAAGAAGCCCCGGCUAACUACGUGCCACAGCCGCGGUAAUCUGAGCGGGCUGCAAGGC